rnacentral:rRNA from 1 species
UAGGGAAUCUUCCACAAUGGGCGAAAGCCUGAUGGAGCAACGCCGCGUGUGUGAUGAAGGGUUUCGGCUCGUAAAACACUGUUGUAAGAGAAGAAUGACAUUGAGAGUAACUGUUCAAUGUGUGACGGUAUCUUACUAGAAAGGAACGGCUAAAUACGUGCCAC